CAAUUAAUUCAUUACAUUGUUAUAGAAAAAAAUAGGAAAUAAAUAUAUGUAGCAUUGUAUAGAUUUUAAGCCAAAUUAAUAGAUUAGAGGAACAAAUUAAUUUGAAGAAGAAGAAAAAGUACAUACAGAACAUUUUGAAAAGUAAAAGAGAUACAUAACAAUCUAGUCAAUUUACAUUAGAACUUAUGGUGCAGGUCAUCGUGAACUUAGCUCAGUUGGUUUGGACAAUGCAUAAUAUAUGCAAGGUCCGGAGUUCAAACUCUGGCCACCACCAAAAAAAGAACUUAUGGUGUAGUGCACAACAGGUUAACAAGACAUUAAGACACAAGAUAAAAAAAAACCAUGGAACAUACUAAAAUAACAACAAUAUCAAUGAGAUUUUGCAGGGUUUUCUUCUCUGAUGGAAGUGGAUUCAAGCACCACUAGAGGAGAAAGAAGAGGUAUUGGACCCUUACUAUUGAAGAAAGAAUUCAAAGAAGAUGAUGUUGAACCAUUUCCAAUUAAGUUCUGUGUUCCAUUGCAACUAGAAGAUUUCAUGUUAGGAUUGAUCUGAAGUGGACAAGGAGCUCUCUUUUGUAGCCGACUCGUCGAAUUUCUGAAUACUAACUCGUCCCUGUGAUUGUAUAUCUGGAAACCAGGAAACUCAUUCACAGAUUCCUUCAUUUUUUGCAUUUUCAAAUUUUCCUUAAUUUUUUGGAGUACUUGGAUAGAGUUAUAAGAAAUAGAGCAUUAUUAAUAGAGUAUGAGAAUUGAAGUUAUGACAAAGAUAGAUAGUCAAAUAUUAUCUUAUAGAAAAUUUUGAAUAUUAAGUUGGAUUGAAU
rnacentral:lncRNA from 1 species